rnacentral:rRNA from 1 species
CACCGAAGUCAAGCCUCAUUGCGCGCGGUCAGUACUUGGGUGGGUGACCACCUGGGAACACUGCGUGCCGUU